rnacentral:rRNA from 1 species
GACGAACGCUGGCGGCGUGCCUAAUACAUGCAAGUAGGACGCAGUUGCGAACGGGUGAGUAACGCGUAGGUUCCUGCCUAUUAGAGGGGUUUAAAUAUUGGAAACGAUCGCUAAUACCGCAUUCUAGUAGUUGGACCUGUGUUGUAUUAGCUAGUUGGUAGGGUAAUGGCCUACCUAGGCGACGAUACAUAGCCGACCUGGGAGGGUGAUCGGCCACACUGGGACUGAGACACGGCCCAGACUCCUACGGGAGGCAGCAGUAGGGAAUCUUCGGCAAUGGGGGGAACCCUGACCGAGCAACGCCGCGUGAGUGAAGAAGGUUUUCGGAUCGUAAAGCUCUGUUGUUAAGGAAGCGGUACUUAACCAGAAAGGGACGGCUAACUACGUGCCAGCCGCCGCGGUAAUUC